UAAUAGUAAUAAGGCCGGGCGCGGUGGCUCACGCCUAUAAUCCCAGCACUUUGGGAGGCCAAGGCGGACAGAUCACCUGAAGUUGGGAGUUCAAGACCAGCCUGACCAAUGUGGCAAAACCCUGUCGUGAAACCCCCAUCUCUACAAAAAAUAAAAAUAAAAACAGAGAUAAAAAAAAGAAAGACCUUAAGUCAAUACUCUAACUUCAGACCUUAAGGAACUAGAAAAAGAAGCACAAACUGGACCCAACCAAAGGGAGGGAACAAUAAUGUUUAGAGCAGAGAUAAGUGAAAUAAAGAAUAAAAAUAAGGCAGGUGCGGUACCUCACACCUGUAAUCCCAGCACUUUGGGAGGCUGAGGCAGGAGGAUCGCUUGAGGCCAGGAGUUCAAGGCCUGGACAAGACAGUGAGACCCCAUCUCUAUGAAAUUAAAAAAAAAAUUAGCUGGGUUUGGUGAUGCAUGCCUGUAGUCUCAGUUACUCAGGAGGCUGAGGUAGGAGGAUCACUCGAGCCCAGCAGUUUGAGGUUGCAGUGCAUAUGAUCACACCACUGCAUCAUUCCAGCCUGGGUAACAGAGCACGGCCCCAUCUCUCAAAAACAAACAAACAACAACAACCACAAAAACCAAGAAGAAUAAAAAUAGUAGAAUCAACAAAACCAAAAAUUUGUUAUUUAAAAAGAUCAACAGAAUUUACAAACUCUUGGCCAGGCAUGGUGGCUCACGCCUGUAAUCCCANNNNNNNNNNNNNNNNNNNNNNNNNNNNNNNNNN
rnacentral:lncRNA from 1 species